rnacentral:rRNA from 1 species
GACGAACGCUGGCGGCAUGCCUCAUACAUGCAAGUCGAACGGUCUAACUUCGGUUAGAUAGUGGCGGACGGGUGAGUAACGCGUGGGCAACCUGCCCUAAAGUUGGGGAUAACAUCUCGAAAGGGAUGCUAAUACCGAAUGUGUUCCUAUUUAUGCAUAUAAAUGGGAAGAAAGGGCUUCGGCUCGCUUUAGGAUGGGCCCGCGUCCCAUUAGCUAGUUGGUGGGGUAAUGGCCUACCAAGGCGACGAUGGGUAGCCGGCCUGAGAGGGCGAUCGGCCACACUGGGACUGAGACACGGCCCAGACUCCUACGGGAGGCUG